rnacentral:rRNA from 1 species
CAGCAGCCACGGUAAUACGGAGGGUGCAAGCGUUAAUCGGAAUUACUGGGCGUAAAGCGCACGCAGGCGGUCUGACAAGUCAGAUGUGAAAUCCCCGGACUUAACCUGGGAACUGCAUUUGAAACUGUCAGGCUGGAGUCUUGUAGAGGGGGGUAGAAUUCCAGGUGUAGCGGUGAAAUGCGUAGAGAUCUGGAGGAAUACCGGUGGCGAAGGCGGCCCCCUGGACAAAGACUGACGCUCAGGUGCGAAAGCGUGGGGAGCAAACAGGAUUAGAUACCCGGGUAGUCCCUGUCUCUUAUAC